UGCAGGAAGCCGUGGGGGAUCGAUAUUGGGAUGUUAUCGAUUGCUCUGCCGGCUGAUAAUUUGUGUGGGGAGGAGGGGCUGUGGUGACGUCACCGGCCCGCCGCCGCCGCAGAGGUUGUCGGGAGGUGAGCACGGACCGCUCGGUCUUUCUGGUCUCGGCGGCGGACGGUGAGGAUGUUCCGGCUCGGACUCCUGGGCAAACGGCGAGGGGGCCCGGAGUCGGCGGGCGGAAGGGGUGGCCACGUGUGGGGAAAGGGAAGCGAAGGAUUGCUUUACCCAGGCGAUUAUCGGGGCCUUAAACCUCGUGCUGUGGUGAUGCUCGUUCAUCUUUAUAAGCAAUGGAUCACAGCCAGUCUUGUGAUAAAUUUGAAUUGAAAAACAUUACAUAAUUCAGAAGUGAAGUUCUAAUGGAAACCAUCUGAGCCCAGCAUGUCUGAGUGACGAAUGAGCAAUUGUCUGGCUUCAGGUUGUAGUGGUAUUCUGCCAAAUGCCUGCUUGUACCCUGGAAAGAUUCUUUACAGCAGCUGGGAUGAACAGAUUCACUAUUUGCAUCUUCCUUUGUACAAGUGAAGCUAUUGAAAACAUCUGAAGUAUAAGCUAUAAUCUAUAUAAAUUUGGGGUUGCAAGAUUUUUAAUAGUGCUACUCAAUGGAAGCUUGGUUAGCUAGCAGUGGCACUAGUGAAACUUGUUAUUUUUUUGUAACGUUGACUUGCAAUAAUUCUCAUAUUUGAAUUUGACUGUUGAAUAUGAUGAAUCCAAUUAAACUUAAAAUAAAGAUGUACUGAUUUGCAUUAUUGAUUCUA